UACGGAGGGUGCGAGCGUUAAUCGGAAUUACUGGGCGUAAAGCGCACGCAGGCGGUUUGUUAAGCUAGAUGUGAAAGCCCCGGGCUCAACCUGGGAUGGUCAUUUAGAACUGGCAGACUAGAGUCUUGGAGAGGGGAGUGGAACUCCAGGUGUAGCGGUGAAAUGCGUAGAUAUCUGGAGGAACAUCAGUGGCGAAGGCGACUCCCUGGCCAAAGACUGACGCUCAUGUGCGAAAGUGUGGGUAGCGAACAGG
rnacentral:rRNA from 1 species